GUUUGUUAGUUUUAUAAAGAAAAUAAUUUUUGCACUGAGGUUCACUUUCCCAUGGAACUCCCAUAUGUACAUGAGUACUUACCAAGGUACUUUGAACG